rnacentral:rRNA from 1 species
CAGCCGCCGCGGUAAUACGUAGGUGGCAAGCGUUGUCCGGAAUUAUUGGGCGUAAAGGGCUCGCAGGCGGUUUCUUAAGUCUGAUGUGAAAGCCCCCGGCUCAACCGGGGAGGGUCAUUGGAAACUGGGAAACUUGAGUGCAGAAGAGGAGAGUGGAAUUCCACGUGUAGCGGUGAAAUGCGUAGAGAUGCGGAGGAACGCCAGUGGCGAAGGCGACUCUCUGGUCUGUAACUGACGCUGAGGAGCGAAAGCGUGGGGAGCGAACAGGAUUAGAUACCCCCGUAGUCCCUGUCUCUUAUAC